rnacentral:rRNA from 1 species
CGCAUAACGUCGCAAGACCAAAGAGGGGGACCUUCGGGCCUCUUGCCAUCGGAUGUGCCCAGAUGGGAUUAGCUAGUAGGUGGGGUAACGGCUCACCUAGGCGACGAUCCCUAGCUGGUCUGAGAGGAUGACCAGCCACACUGGAACUGAGACACGGUCCAGACUCCUACGGGAGGCAGCAGUGGGGAAUAUUGCACAAUGGGCGCAAGCCUGAUGCAGCCAUGCCGCGUGUAUGAAGAAGGCCUUCGGGUUGUAAAGUACUUUCAGCGGGGAGGAAGGGAGUAAAGUUAAUACCUUUGCUCAUUGACGUUACCCGCAGAAGAAGCACCGGCUAACUCCGUGCCAGCAGCCGCGGUAAUACGGAGGGUGCAAGCGUUAAUCGGAAUUACUGGGCGUAAAGCGCACGCAGGCGGUUUGUUAAGUCAGAUGUGAAAUCCCCGGGCUCAACCUGGGAACUGCAUCUGAUACUGG